UACGUAGGGGGCAAGCGUUGUCCGGAAUCAUUGGGCGUAAAGCGCGUGUAGGCGGCUUGGUCAGUCCGCUCUGAAAGCCCGGGGCUCAACCCCGGGAGGCGGGUGGAUACUGUCAAGCUCGAGUCCGGAAGAGGCGAGUGGAAUUCCUGGUGUAGCGGUGAGAUACGCAGAUAUCAGGAGGAACACCAAUGGCGAAGGCAGCUCGCUGGGACGGUACUGACGCUAAGGCGCGAAAGCGUGGGGAGCGAACAGG
rnacentral:rRNA from 1 species